rnacentral:rRNA from 1 species
GACGAACGCUGGCGGCGUGCUUAACACAUGCAAGUCGAACGGAAAGGCCCUGCUUGCAGGGUACUCGAGUGGCGAACGGGUGAGUAACACGUGGGUGAUCUGCCCUGCACUUCGGGAUAAGCCUGGGAAACUGGGUCUAAUACCGGAUAGGAGCCAUUUUUAGUGUGAUGGUUGGAAAGUUUUUUCGGUGUAGGAUGAGCUCGCGGCCUAUCAGCUUGUUGGUGGGGUAAUGGCCUACCAAGGCGGCGACGGGUAGCCGGCCUGAGAGGGUGGACGGCCACAUUGGGACUGAGAUACGGCCCAGACUCCUACGGAAGGCAGCAGUGGGGAAUAUUGCACAAUGGGCGCAAGCCUGAUGCAGCGACGCCGCGUGGGGGAUGACGGCCUUCGGGUUGUAAACUCCUUUCGCUAGGGACGAAGCUUUUUGUGACGGUACCUAGAUAAGAAGCACCGGCUAACUACGUG